CUGCCAGUAGCCAGAGAGGCAGAAGCUCCCUAAGCCAGGAUGUGGUAAGAAGCCUGACUGCAGGCUGAAAACUUUCCUCCCACUGCACUGCUCUCCAUCAAUAUUACCCAAUUGGCCUUAAAUGCAAAGGGCAGUGACUCAUCUUCAAAAGGACAGGACUGGAUAAUAUCUCAACUAUGACAGUGGUUAAAGCACUGUUGGCAGAAGUUAGAGAGAGAAAUUCAAACCCUGUCUGUGUGAGAGGAGCCUAAAACCUGAGUCUUCACUUUCUGGUCAAGUGCACUAACCAUGCAACUACAGGGUGUUCUUUCUCCAUCCCUUUCCUGAAAUUGCACUCAGGAAUGUGUGCAUAUAUCUAAACACUGUAUAGCCAAGUGAGCAUGCCCAUGUCCUUGUGCAUCUACCAUGCAGAGACUGAGCCAAAAA